rnacentral:rRNA from 1 species
CCCCUAGAUGUUCUGGGCCGCACGCGCGCUACACUGAACAGUUCAACAAGUCUUAACCUUGGCCGAUAGGUCUGGGUAAUCUUUGAACGCUGUUCGUGAUUGGGAUAGACCUUUGCAAUUAUGGGUCUUCAACGUGGAAUUCCUAGUAAACGCAAGUCAUCAGCUUGCAUUGAUUACGUCCCUGCCCUUUGUACACACCGCCCGUCGCACCUACCGAUUGAAUGGUCCGGUGAAAUCUCGGGACGGCGGCUUGGUCGCUUGCGUCCGACUGCUGAAACUUGAUUAAACCAUAUCAUUUAGAGGAAGGUGAANUCGUANCA